CUUUUUCUCCUCUUAUCUUAUGAUCUUAUCCUGCUCUGACGCCUGAUGAAAUGGGCCGCUGGGUCUGUCUCUUCUAUAUAUUGUUGGGAGCGAGGCGUUUGAAUUUCAAGGUACUCUGGUGAUUCCUCCAUCGGCUUCUCAAUUGAGCAAUCUCUUACACGCCCUCACAUCUCGCUAUUCUGCAUCCUCUUGAUCACAAAUUUUCAGAUCAUGCCAACAAUCCUGUCCCUUUUCCUUUGCGGAAUCUUGAUCCAUUACUUGCAAGUUGCAGCCAUGGGAGGCUGCCCUCCUUUGCAGAUUCAUUCUCGUGUUGAAAUACAGAGGCAACCACUGUGGAUUCAGUGGUUCGUUCCCACAAGAAACAGAACAAUUUAUGACAGCGUGACGUAUGGAGGACAACUUGUUGACAGACAUCGUUCCGGCAAAGUAUAUAGAGGAAAAAAGAGGACAGUGUGUGGACCCGAGCGUGAAUUAAAGGAGGAGGAACCCACUACCCCAUUCCUUAAUUCUAACCAUUCACCGCCCGACCAACCCCCACCUGUAUGUUUUUCCGUGGCCUAAGGCAAAACUAGUUGAACAACGAUCUUGCAAAUGAAACACUUAAAUGUUGUAAUCCCUUUUUUCCCUUGACUUUCAAUAUGUUGGUUGGAAAUGAGCAAAAACCUUAACGCCCAUUAAUUCUCUUUAACAAUUUAAAUAAGUUUUAAAUUUACUCAUA